rnacentral:tRNA from 1 species
GCAUCCGUAGCUCAACUGGAUAGAGCACCGGUCUUCGGAACCGGGGGUUGGAGGUUCGAAUCCUCCCGGGUGUA